CUAGCCAAUCAGCGCUCAGAAAGGGUUGUCCGAAUAGAAAUCCAUUUUGAUGUAUUCAGUCAAUUAUAUCUUUCGUUAUUCUUUAUGAAACUAGUUGAAAUUUUGUAAUUAUGUUUGGUUAUGAGAACUAUAGCUCUGACAAAAAUAUGGAAUCGAAAUAAAGUAUAUUACAGGAGAUAUUCAGUUCUUUUAAUCAUAAAAUGGAUUUCUAUUUGACAACUAGUGCCAGUACUUUUCCGCGUAUCAAGAUCACCUGG